GAACCAAGUUAUUGGACAUGGUCAGCACGCGCAACUUCUUCAUCACUCCGAUACCUUUGAGCUUCUCGAUUUGGUUGUAACUGAUCCAUAAUUCUUCCAGCGUCUCGCUGACAGCUUCCUACAGAAAAGAGAUGGAUUUGAUGCUGUUUCGACCCAAUGACAAGAUCUUUAGGUGUUUCAUGCUGCCCAGAUUGGCGAUUCGUUCGAUGUUAUUGGACGACAAAGAUAAUUUUCUAGAUGACAGAGUAAUGAAUGAUAGCAUCACUGUAUCCAUCUUGUCGAGUGACGGACAGAUGCCUAUCAGCUUAAUUUCGACUGCUGUGGAGAUCUUUUGCUGGGUGUGGGCCUCCCAUUGUUUCACUGCUUCUUUCAUCGACAUGGCGUUCCACAUAGUGAGUCUGUAGGAAGUAACUAUGUCGAACGUUUCAAGAUGGCCAAAAUUCAGGUAAUCCAAAAUUCAUCCAUAUUAUAUCGUCUCUCAUUUUCAUUAGAGAUGCGCUGCCAUCUACUGACAAUCCACAUUCCCAGUCAUUAAGGUACGUCCCGACUUUUCUUAACGAAAACACAUUGUACUUAGGUAAAUGGUAAUCCAAAAAAUGAAAUAAAUAUUGAAAGAUAAUAGGCAUUUUGUUGUUCACGUAAAUAUAAAGAACAACUAGUAAGUGAUAAAUAAAAUAUUCAGCGUCAUCAAUGUUGGCAACGCCUAGAUAGAAAGAGAUGCUCCGCCUACUUUUUCGUUCGUGUCAGUGCUCAGUGGAGCCAAGUUGCAAGUUGCACACAGCAGCAAAAAUGUGGUGGUUUAUACCAGAACUCCACAAGAGACGCACAUCAUGGCAGCAUACACGUUUUACACUCCCAUGAUUAAGCAUGAAAGUUUUCUCGUGCUCGAAAGGUUGUACUUUACACUGUAUGUAUUACUAACCUAUCUAGAAUUUAAAUUGAACCACUUUGACCUCCAGUUUUUCUGUUGAAAAAGGCCACAUCAUAAAGGUUUUUCAGGGUUUGGAUUACCUGUAGGUGUUUGUUCAUAAAUUUGGUGCCAAGCAGGAUGUCUAUGGAUAAGUCAGAUGGCAGUUUGAUAGCCUGUGUUCAUUCAUUGGGUAACUUUGCCAUGUGACCUUGCUAUGAGGUUUUUCAUGGUUUCUGCUGAUUCUGAACGUACAGCAUUAAUGCUUAUAACAUGGGAAAUGGUGACAUUGACAGAAAAAGAUUCCAUCGUUGCACCACAAAAUAAAUGCAAGUUAUUAUCCUGCAAACUGGUCCAUGUAGGUACUUAAUUGUUACCUUUUUGCCAGUGUUCUACCAGUCAUGAAGAGAUUGGUGAGUUCUGGUCCAGUGUAACAUGUUAGUCAACUUCUUGCCUUGCUAUGAACUAGUAGUGUUUAUUUUGAAUUGUUGUACCCGUGUUACCGAUGAAAUCACCAUGAAGACUUAAGGAAGAAUAUGUACCAGAAAAGAAACCACAAGUUAUAGAAGAUUUAGGUUCUCAAAAGUAAAAGUUCAGUGCAAUCAAAAUUUAUCUGUUAGCAUGCUGAAGAUUAUUUUUUUUUGGAAAACCUAUGUUAUCAUAUAAACUCGACACUUCAUUUUUAAGGUAUGUCAAGUAUUAAUACUGUGUUUUUGCAGGUCUAGUGAAAAUGACUGACUAACUUAGAUGGCCUGCGAAAGAAAAAGAGACUAUCUGAAGAUGAUAGAGUAAACAUAUUGAGUGCUUUUGUAGGCAAAAUGGUGAAAGUCCAAUCCAUUUCAUUUAAUUGAAACUAAAGAUAUAUUUAAUGGAAGGAAACAGUGAUUUUAUCUGCCGUGACUGAAGAAGAAUAAAAGUUUAAAACAUG